UACGGAGGGGGCUAGCGUUGUUCGGAAUUACUGGGCGUAAAGCGCACGUAGGCGGACCAGGAAGUUGGGGGUGAAAUCCCGGGGCUCAACCUCGGAACUGCCUUCAAAACUAUUGGUCUUGAGUUCGAGAGAGGUGAGUGGAAUUCCGAGUGUAGAGGUGAAAUUCGUAGAUAUCCGGAGGAACACCAGUGGCGAAGGCGGCUUCCGGGACCGACACUGACGCUGAGGCGCGAAAGCUAGGGGAGCAAACGGG
rnacentral:rRNA from 1 species